rnacentral:rRNA from 1 species
AGAGUUUGAUCAUGGCUCAGAUUGAACGCUGGCAGCAGGCUUAACACAUGCAAGUCGAACGGUAACAGAACUAGCUUGCUAGUUGCUGACGAGUGGCGGACGGGUGAGUAACGCGUAGGAAUCUACCGAAUAGUGGGGGACAACAGUUGGAAACGGCUGCUAAUACCGCAUACGCCCUACCGGGGGAAAGGAGGGGAUCUCCGGACCUUUCGCUAUUUGAUGAGCCUGCGUGAGAUUAGUUAGUUGGUGGGUAAUGGCUCACCAAGGCGACGAUCUCUAGCUGGUCUGAGAGGAUGAUCAGCCACACUGGGACUGAGACACGGCCCAGACUCCUACGGGAGGCAGCAGUGGGGAAUAUUGCACAAUGGGGGAAACCCUGAUGCAGCCAUGCCGCGUGUGUGAAGAAGGCCUUCGGGUUGUAAAGCACUUUCAGUUGUGAGGAAAGGUUAAGGGUUAAUAACUCUUAGCUGUGACGUUAGCAACAGAAGAU